UACGGAGGGUGCAAGCGUUAUCCGGAUUCACUGGGCUUAAAGGGCGCGUAGGUGGGUUGGUAAGUCAGUGGUGAAAUCCCCGAGCUUAACUUGGGAACUGCCAUUGAUACUAUCAGUCUUGAAUACCGUGGAGGUCAGCGGAAUAUGUCAUGUAGCGGUGAAAUGCUUAGAUAUGACAUAGAACACCAAUUGCGAAGGCAGCUGGCUACACGAAUAUUGACACUGAGGCACGAAAGCGUGGGGAUCAAACAGG
rnacentral:rRNA from 1 species